rnacentral:rRNA from 1 species
GAUGAACGCUGACAGAAUGCUUAACACAUCAGCAAUUGAUUGGUGGCGGACGGGUGAGUAACGCGUAAAGAACUUGCCUCACAGGUAGGGACAACAUUUGGAAACGAAUGCUAAUACCUAAUACUGUGAGAGAGCGUUGCGUCCCAUUAGCUAGUUGGAGAGGUAACGGCUCACCAAGGCGAUGAUGGGUAGCCGGCCUGAGAGGGUGAUCGGCCACAAUAAAACUUAUAACCUUCCCUUACUCCUACUGGAGGCAACAGUGGGGAAUAUUGAACAAUGGACCAAAGUCUGAUCCAGCAAUUCUGUGUCCACGAUGAAGUUUUCGGAAUGUAAAGUGCUUUCAGUUGGGAAGCGGUACCAACAGAAGAAGUGACGGCUAAAUACGUGCCAGCAGCCGCGGUAAUUC